GUCUCCUUGAGGUGAGAUCUCAUGACAGGCUCAGGACUCUGUGUCCAGAAGGGGACUCUGACAUUUUCUGCACAAGCUACUGAAGAAGGGUGAUGCAACUUAAUGAGAGAAAAGUCUCCAUGAAGGACAGUGAGUUGAAGCUCGGACGGUGAGUUGAAGCUCAGACUAUGAUUCUACUCUACUCUCCAAGGCACUACUUUUCCAUGAAGCCUUCCUUAACCAUUCCAGCCUGCCAUUCAUCUUUUGAAGACCACGUGGCUUAAGGCUCUCUCUCUGGCCUGAAAGACAGAUAUCCUGGGACUUCCAAAUAUCAACUCAAGCAUAAGUGUCUUGCCUCGCCAACUAGACUGCAAAUCCCUGGAGAAAGAUACAUCUGGUGGUUUCCUCUUGGUCCCAGAACCAUGUGUAGAGUUACUUUAUUUAUGUGUACAUCAAAUUGAACUGGUCCUAUGAUUCCCAGUGUGAAAUGUAAAAUGGAGACUGAGACAGUGGCUUCACACACAAGCUGGAAGAAGGAAGAUGGUGUCUAAAUGAGACAGAAAAGUAAAAAGUAAAAUAGCUUAGAAGAAUUUUAGUCUAAGCACUGUCAGAAUCUUCCAGGCUACAAGUAUUAUGAAUUACUGGAAACAAAUUAUCAUAAAGGCCCCAGACAGUAUCUGUUUAUUUAUUUUUAAGACUAGUCAGUUAUUUGGCUAAGUGUAGCUUGCUUUAGGGGAAGGUGACUACAGGAAAACUCUGCUAUAGGUUUCUUGCAGUCAUAGGCUUAUGAGGGUGAUAGAGGUUGGUGGGGUAGAGGUGGAGAAAUGGAACACUGUCGCUACAAGAUUUCUGUAACUUCUGUUUGCUUGCACAGAAAGAGGCUAUUUUACACUCCCUUGGCAUCAUAGAAGGACAAUGGCAAAUCAUGCUGUAGAAGUACGAGAUCUUUGUCAAAGCUCAAGAUGCUCCUUCACGUCAAGAGAUUUCUCCAUUAAAAGGAAACCCCUGCUUAUUCUUUAGGGCUUUCCCUCCAUAAGAGCAAGCUUACAGAACCACCACAGAGCUGAUAUAAUCCACACAUCCCACUCUUCCAUGUCUCUAGUCUCUUAUACCUGGUGAUUGCAGGAAAUCGUUAAUCCAAACAAUUGGAAAGCGUCUGGGUCCAAUAAUAUGUUGUCCUCCGACUUACAUAGUCAUUGUAUUCUAAGUUUACUAAUAUCCUCACAUUUAACAUAGAUGAAGAACAUUAUCUGCUCUGUUCAGUUGAAAAAGAGAAAGUAGAUACUAUAAAUGCAAAGAAUACCUUGGAUCAUUCUUUUCAAGCUACAUUUUUGUUUGAAUUUUAUAGUUUAGUCCUUGAGGUUUGGGGGUACUUUUUCCAAAUACAGGAAAUUGC